GGCGAACGCUGGCGGCGUGCUUAACACAUGCAAGUCGAACGAUGAAGCGGUGCUUGCACCGUGGAUUAGUGGCGAACGGGUGAGUAAUACGUGAGUGACCUACCUUUGACUCUGGGAUAAGCCUGGGAAACUGGGUCUAAUACCGGAUACGACCAAUCUCUGCAUGGGGUGUUGGUGGAAAGCGUUAUGGAGUGGUUUUAGAUGGGCUCACGGCCUAUCAGCUUGUUGGUGAGGUAAUGGCUUACCAAGGCGACGACGGGUAGCCGGCCUGAGAGGGUGACCGGCCACACUGGGACUGAGACACGGCCCAGACUCCUACGGGAGGCAGCAGUGGGGAAUAUUGCACAAUGGGCGCAAGCCUGAUGCAGCGACGCCGCGUGAGGGAUGACGGCCUUCGGGUUGUAAACCUCUGUUAGCAUCGAAGAAGCGAAAGUGACGGUAGGUGCAGAGAAAGCGCCGGCUAACUACGUG
rnacentral:rRNA from 1 species